UACGGGGGGAGCAAGCGUUGUUCGGAUUUACUGGGCGUAAAGGGCGCGUAGGCGGUCAGCACAAGUCAGUUGUGAAAUCUCCGGGCUUAACUCGGAAAGGUCAACUGAUACUGUGCGACUAGAGUGCAGAAGGUGCAACUGGAAUUCUCGGUGUAGCGGUGAAAUGCGUAGAUAUCGAGAGGAACACCUGAGGUGAAGACGGGUUGCUGGGCUGACACUGACGCUGAUGCGCGAAAGCCAGGGUAGCAAACGGG
rnacentral:rRNA from 1 species